rnacentral:tRNA from 1 species
AAAGUAGUACUUUAAUUAAAAAGGUUCGAUUUGCAUUUGAUUAUUAAGAAAUUUAUCUUCUACUUUU